AUAGUUAUAGUUUUGUUUAAAUGACUUUAUCGGUGAGUACUUUUUAACAGACGCCAACUGUUUCUGGGGAGCACGAGCGGUUAACAUGUUGAUUAGGUCUUCCUGUGUCGUGUGAAAUUUAUAAUGAUGAGUUGUGGUUUUUGUUUUCAGCUUGAAGCAAUGGGUUUUGAUCGUGCGAUCGUAUUGGAGGUGUACUUCGCGUGUAACAAAAAUGAGGAAUUGGCUGCCAACUACCUUUUAGAUCACAUGCACGAGUUCGAUGAACAAUAGAUCUCCUUUCCAAUUUGCCAAAUUAUUUCUUUUCAACUUUUUCUCUCGAUGGGUCUUUGUUACACUCCAUGUUUAAUGAGUUCAUGUUUGAUAAUGACAAUCUCAAGUGGAUAAAUUUUAGCCUCUCCUUUAUUAUUGCCCUUGUAUUUAUCAUUUCCUCCCUGUCCCUCGAGAUUUUUAGUAUUCAUAUACAUAGUUGUUUGCCCCCAUCUUAUUGGCCUUUUGUGCAUACCUUCUAUUUCUAACCUUUCUCAUUCUGCAUGUUUUAUAAGUCACUAGUUCAUAGAUGGCAAAUCAGUCCUCUUUGGAAUACAUGCAAAUAAUUUAAAAGUAGUUGUCAUGUUGAUUAUUUAUUGUAAAAAUUAAUAUGAAUAGAUGUCGGAAUUAGUUAAAAUGUUAUGAAUUUAUUAAAAAUCAAAUAGACUAUAUUCCAAAAGUUUCUUAUUAUACUAUUUUGUAUGAGGUGACGAAGAAACGAACUGGGAUAACUGUAUAAUUAAUGUAAGUUGUUUCCCAAAUUUUAAAUGGUUCAAGCAUUUUAAACAUGAUUUAACAUGUAAAUCAAAUAUGUGCCUCGAUAAGUGUACUAACUAGUGUUGACCCAAAUAUAACCAUGAAUCAAUAGCACUCAGCACACACUGAUUGAAACCAGUGAUUGUUAUCCGGUGAAUCACCAUAACUCAGGAAGAUAGAUUAGGAUAUAUCUCUCCUCUGGGAAAUAAGUUUUCCACAUAGUAGAAUUAACACCAUUUUCAAACAAAAUUUUAAUAUUCAAUGUUUUUGUGUAUUUUUCUCUUAUCAAUCUCGUUUAAAUUGAUUAAAAAGAUGAACCUUACAUCAAGAUGUCAAAUUGUGUAUUAAAAAGGUGUGUCAAUAAAACAUGGUUACCAAAAAAGAUGGGUGCAAUAUUGUUGUAUGUUUAGAAGAAAAUAAAUUAAUUGAUUUUUAGAAUUGAAAAAUUUGAGAUUAACAAUUUUAUUCAAGAAGUGACCUGAUAUUGACUGGCAAAAAAGAGUCAAGGCAUAUUAGUCCAUCAUAGAUAGACAUGUUGAAAAUCUUUAAUUAAUCAAUUUAUCCAUGUAAUCAGAUAAAAUCAAAAUAACUAUUAUUGUUAUUACAUAAUAAAUUUUUAAUUAUAAUGGGUUAAAUAUGUUUUUAGUCCCUAUACUUCUUUGAGGCGAUUUUGGUUUUAGUCAAUUUUCAAACUAUGGUAUAAUUUAGUCCUUCAACUUUAGAAAACUCUGGUUUUAGUCAUUUUUACCAAAUUUUUUUAACUUUAUUUGUUGUUCCAAACACGUUUCUCAGUUAAUAUUUAAGCAAAAAUGUGUCAAACAGUGUAAACAAUCCAAAUGUUAUAAUGAAACGUGUUUGAAACAACAAAUAGAGUUAAAAAAUUUGGUAAAAAGGACUAAAACCAGAAUUUUCUAAAGUUGAAGGACUAAAUUGUACCAUAUUUUAAAAAUGGACUAAAACCAAAAUCGCCUCAAAGUAUAGGGACUAAAAACAUAUUUAACCCAAUUAUAAUUGAUGUUUGAAAAGUUUUAAUUUGUAGCUUAAUUGAAAAAUGUUUAUUAUUUAAAUUACAAUACAUUCACAUCCUUUAAAUAAUAUAAUAAAAAAAACAUUCUUUUAAACUAAUUUUUUAUUAUAAAUUUUAAUUUAAAAAAUUAAUAAAUCCGUUUAUUUGGUUCUACCUUUAGUCCAUUAAUUUGACUAAUCAAACAUAACAGAUUAAAAAUAUAAAAUCCACUCGUCACGAUACUGCAGGCUGAUAAAUUGACCUAUAAGGACUCGCCCUGUUUGGCAUCCUUAAAUUGUGUAUGAAGAAAAGAAAUCGUUCCAAAUUCGAUUGUAAUGUGGUUAGCUAACUGAGGGGUGCGCUUGAGGAAAGUACAUUGGACCUCAGAUGCAAAAGCCCAAAAUUAAUUCUGGGUCCUAAGAAAAGAGAAAAAGAAUACAUAAGGAACUUUAAGAUGAAAUUGUGAAAUAAUCUGGAAUAAAAAAAAAAAUCAAUUAACUCAACCACGUUAUAGUUAAACUAAUUUGUGUUCAAAACUUAGUAAUUUAGUAAGCAAGCUAGUUCAUUUUAAAUGGAUGUCUAAGUAAAUAAAUAAUAAUAAAAUUAAGAUGGUAAAAAUGAUAUAAUUUAGUGUUAUUAUUUAUCUUAUAUACAAUCAUCUCUGCUUGUAGAAUUUUAUCAAACUUUUUAUAUUAUUUUCACUAAUUUUUUAUUUUUUUUUCUCACAAUUAUUAUUUUAUUGUCAUGACCACAGUUAGUAUAACCAUUUAUAUCGAUAUAUUGUUUUUAUUCUCAUAAUAGUUAUCAUCAUUCACAAUUAUUGUUGACAUUUUCAUUAUCAUCUUAUCAUUAAUAGUUAUUAUCACCAUGAUAAUUAUUAUGAUAUUAUUAUAAUUUUCUUCACAUAUCGUUAUCACCAUCCCCCAGUAACCUACUGUUAUUCAACUUUUAUCAUGAUGUUCCCGAACAUAAAUAUAUAAUUAAUUCCCGAAAAUAAAUAUAUAAUUAAUGUUCAUUGAGUGUUUUUCCUAUUCUUGUAACAUAUGUUACUUUUUGCCACCAAUAGAGUUUUUACAUAUUCAGUUUUGGUUUUACUUUUUCUCAAUAAAAUACUUUAUACUUUUAGCUUACUAGUUUGUCCUAUUAUAAUGAUUUUUUUCUUAAUUUUGUUUUAUUAUUUUAAAUAUUUUUAAUUUAGUUCAUUUUCUUUUAAAAUAAGUUAAUGCAAUUUUUUUAAUCAAAAAUCGUGAUAAUAAAAGUAUUACAAUGACACAUAGCUUUUGUGGCUUAUAUUAUUAGUCAACAUUGAAAGUUCUAAGAUUCUUCCUUCCUUAUCUAAAAUUGACAUGUUUUCUUUCUUUUCUAUGUUCUUUUCAUGACAUUUUUUUUUUCAUUUGUGUAGAUUACGCUAUAAACACUUAAACAAAAAAAAGUAUUUCUUAGAAAUAAAAGUUCCUCAUUAAAAAUACGAGUUCAGAAUAAUCACUUUUUUUUUCAUAAAAAGGUGUGGGAUAACAAUUUUUCUCCAUUAAAAGGUUGGGAUUGGAAAAAAAAAUUCAAAGAAAAGUCAGACAUAUUAAUUAUAUUAUUGAUAAUUUAUUAUAAUUUGAUUUAAUUUUAGAACCGAAUUGAACUAUUAUUAUAAUAAAUUUAUAUUGAUUGAUAAUUUAUAAUUUUAAUAACUAUUUUUAUUAUUUUCAACUGUCAAUUUGAUGAGCAGCUUUAACUUGAAAGACAACUGCCGUAGGUAAAUUAGAAAUAAUGUUUUUUCAUUAAACUACGAUUUGAACAAAAAUUAUAUUACAAGUUGCAGGUCAUAGCACUAAUAUAUUACAUUAAUGAGAAAAAGUCUUUGUUUUAAAUUUAUGGAUAAAAAGUAUAACUGAAAUAUGACGUCUAUUAAAGUUUUCAUAUAUUCUUUAUUAAAUAUCGAUUAUCAGUAAAAUCAAUAAAUAUUUUUGUCACGUGACAUAAUUAAAACUAAACUUUAGACUUUUUAACCGAUAAAGCAGCUAUUUGUUUCAAUAAACUUUUUUAUAAUCACUUUUAAGAGAAAAAGGAAGAAUAAAUGCAAUAUCUAAAAUUAUCUUAACACAAAUUAAAUGUUAGAAAGAAGAGUUUAAGACUAACUCAAUCCCACAAAACCAGUAAAAUGAGGUUUGAUUCAUUUAUAUAUACUUAAAUGGCCUUAUCUUUAGUCAACGUGGGACAUUCAACACAUCUCUCUUGUGCCAAGAUAUAUAUAUCUUGAGUGUGAGAAUAAACUUUUUAAUGGGUGAUUCGAUAGCGGUCCGAUAAUAGGUGGAACAACAUAUCCAACGACAACAGAAAUCGUUAAGAUAGACUCCAAUCAUGGUCUUAAUACCAUGUUAGAAAGUAGAGUUUAAGUCUAACUCAAUCUCACAAAACUGAUUUGUAGGAUGAGAUUUGUAACCACUUAUAUAUACUUAAAUAGUCUUUAGUCAAUAUGAAACAUCUAAGAAUUUCAAAAAGUUAUAUAAAAAUUACAAAUUAUACAUAAAGUAAUUUUAUUUCAUAAAAGAGUUUAUUAUCAUUUUCGUUCUUAAAAAACUUUUGUAAUGAAUUCUGUGGAAGCUUUAAACAAGAACAAAUUCAAAUGCAAAAUCAAAUGUAAACCAAAUUCACAUGUGUUUCCAACUUUAGUUAAACAAGACAAAUUCGAAUGCUCUCAUCCACCUAAGAUGCUUUACUUCUUAGAGCUCUCUCUGUAUUUCUCCACGUGACGUAACGUAUCAUAGUAAAAUUCUUCAGACAAUGAAAUAUGUGUUUGUUACAAGUAAUAUACAGCUCAUAAAAUCUAUAAUAUAUUCUACAUUAAAAAUAUUUUUUUUUAUAUUUUAAAUGUAAUUUUUUUUUCAAAAAAUAAAAUAAAAUUAAAUAUUAUUAAAAUAAAAAUCUUGUAAUUAAUUGAAAGAUAUUAUAAAAUAUUAAAAGUGAUACCAUAUAUGAUAUUAGAUGUUGACAACUGAUGCCCUAAGACCAUACAUCAAAGAGUAUUGAUAGAUGUAUUCUACUAAAAUUCUACAUGCCAACUUUGACAGUAUGUACUUAGAAUUAAAUCUACAAUUGUACUGAUCCAAUCAAAAUAUUUUACGGGUUUAACUAACAUGCUAUGUUAUGGCCUUAAAAUAAAAAUAUAAAUGAUAAUUAUUUUUUCAUGCUAUUGUAGCAUUAGUGAUAAUUAUAUAAUACAUUUAAACAAUAACAUAAUGGUUGAAUAUGUUACAAUUAACAUAUCAAUUUAAUUAUAAAAUUAAAAACCAAUAUUAUACUAAUCUAACUAAAAGAAUUAAAAUAAAAGAUAUAGAAUAGGAAUAUCCACGAGCACAUGUACUUUUAUAAUCUUUGUACAUUAAAAGGAAAGAUACAUCCUAUUUAGCAAUAGUAAGUGGGUGGUGUGUGUAAAAGGGACCUUUGUCUCUCUUUUUCUUUUAUGAAAGAAACUAAGUGAAUAAGGUUUUAAGAUCUCUUGAGUCUAAACAUACCUUAAAACUAUUCAUAGACUUUACAAAGUUUGUAUAAGAAUGACAAAAUUCAAACUCACACUUUUAAAGAAUGAGUAUGAAACUCAUCAAUUAUAUCAAAAUUUUGUCUUUAUACUAAAUAAUAGAUAAACAUUGAUGUUGGAAUAGAUUGGGUUAUGUUAGGUUUAAACUUAUUUUUCUUGUGCGUGAUGUGGACUUUUCCACCACAUGGCCACUGCUGCAUCAACAGACAGACCAAGACGGAAGAUUAUUAAUGGCCUUCGAAUAUUGUUGCUGUUGGAUGAGUGGGUUGAAAAAAAAAAAAACAGGACCAUUUUUUUGGUACAUAAUAAUUCCAGAACAAAAAGACAAUAAUAUUUUAACAAUAAAAUAUGUGUUAUUAUUUUAUUAAUCUAUUUAAAUUUAUUUUAAAAAAAAUACAAAGUAAUCACAAAUUACCACCACGUAUAUGUGAUUAAAAAGUUAUCAAGAGUUAUUAAAAUAAUUUUUUUCGAAAAAAAAAUAUUUGUACAAAACCAUCAAUGAUGAAUCAACUUUAUCAAAAUGUUCUCCCAAAUUAUAAUAAUAUUCGAGUUUCGUGUGAACCACAGAAAACACACCAAUGUGUUUAUGAAUGGUCAAAUUCAAAGAAAAGUAAAGGGUUGUCGACCAUGUUCUAAUUAUAAACUCCAUUAUUUGUUUUGAUUAAUGUUCAUCUUUCAUAGUACUUCACAAUAAAAAAAAUAAUUAUUCACCAUUUGGUUAGUUGUUCGAGAAAAAAGUUUCAAGCUUUUGACCUGUCCCAGACAUGAUAAUCGCAGCCCUUUAUGUUAUUUUUAUUCGGAUUUAAAUUAAAAAGUAAUUUCAUCUGUUUUUCAUAUCAAUUGUUUUUUUUUUUAAUUAAAAUAAGUUAUCCUGAUUUUUAAAUAAUUGAUAAAAACAUCUUCGUACACGUUAUCGUUAAUUUUAAGUCUUAUCUUCACUUUCCUCUUUCUCCGGUAAUCUAUCUUUCCACAACUAGCAACUAUCUUUCAAAGCCUUUUUCUCAUUCACACUCACUGGAAAAAAAAAAAGUUUAUUAUUGUAUUUAUUUACCAUCCUUGAUUUAAUUUCUACAGUUUUUUGUUUUGGAUUUUUUCAUCCAGAUGACCUUUUAUUGUAAAAUAUAUUCAACCUUCUAGAUAUUAGAUUUGUUAUUAUGUUUGCUUCUUUUUUUAAAGCCAAAAAUAAAAUGGAAUUCCAAUAUUUUGAAAUAUUUUAAUUAUGUGAAUAAUUAUAUCUGGAUGUCUGGAAUUCAUAUAAGAGAUAUAUUUGAUUCACAACAUCAAUUUAAAAUGUAAAACUAUUUUAUUUCAUAUGAAAAAUUCUAUUUCUGGACAAAAGUUAAAUAAACAAAUUGUAAAAGUAAUUGAAUUGACAAAAUCAAGCAUGUCUCUAUUUUUCGGUGUGUCCAAAUAUUUUUUUAAAUAAAGUUGUUUCAGCAAAUUUAAAGAUUAAAAAUUAAAACUUAGAACUUAAAUAAAAGUUAUUUGUCACUAGCAACUUUUCUAAUAUUCGUAAAUUAUUUGAAACUGUUAGGUCUAAUAAAAAAAUAUUUGUAAACAUUCUCUCAUUUAAUUAUAUAUAUAUAUAUAUAUAUAUAUAUAUAUAUACCUAUAUUUUGUUUUUCAUUUCUUGCUAUUAAUGGUGAAAAGAUGUUUUAGGGGUGAUGAUGUGUGAAAGGUUGGAUUGGAGUCUAAGUUUAGAUUUGCCAAAUGCAGAUAAUUUGAUUAGGCUCUCUCUCUCUCUCUCUCUCUCUCUGCUUUUCAUAAAUUUUGAGGCCACAAUUUCCACAUUAACAAAAUUAGAGCAGAAAGGCUCCACCUUAGUUAGGGUUUCUUAGGGUCUAUUAUCUUCUUAUUAAACGACUUUUGAGGCUAUUCUUUUAUAAUAAAAAUAACCUACACCUUUAUGAGCUUUAAAAAUAAUAUAUUUGUAAUACUAUGAAUUUUAAAAACAAUAUAUUUCUAAUGAUAUUGGACUUUAAAAGUUAAAUAUGUUAUUAAUUUUUUAAUUUUGACAUUAAAAUGAAAUUUAUCUAUAUUUUUAAUUGUUAUAUUUUAGUUUUCAAACAUAAAAAUUAAAUAAUAUAAUCAUUUUAAUCUAAUUACAUUAAAUUUUUAAUAUAUUAAAUAUAUAUUAUUAAUUAAUAUUAAAAUAAAAACAUGUUAAAUAAAAUAGACAAUUCAAAUACUAACUUGAAAUAUAUUAGACGUAUUCAAUAAAUCUAAUUGAUUUAAAAUGACUAUAUAAUAUAGGGUUAAAUAUGUUUUUAGUCCCUAUACUUUGAAACGAUUUUGGUUUUAGUUACUAUUUCAAACUAUAGUACAAUUUAGUCCUUCAAUUUUAGAAAACUCUGGUUUUAAUUCUUUUUACCAAAUGUUUUUAACUUUAUUUGCUGUUUCAAGUACGUUUCAUUAUAGUAUUUGGAUUGUUUAUACUAUUUGACACAUUUUUUAUUCAAUGUUAACUGAGAAACGCGUUUGAAACAACAAAUAAAGUUAAAAAAAUUUGAUAAAAAGGACUAAAACCAGAAUUUUUUAAAGUUGAAGGACUAAAUUGUACUAUAGUUUGAAAGAGGGACUAAAACCAAAAUCAUCCCAAAGUAUAGGGACUAAAAACAUAUUUAACCCUAUAAUAUAUUACUUUCAUUUAAAGUUUGAAAAUAAAAAUACAUCAAAGUUUCAAACAAAAAUAAAUUCUAAUUUUAUAUUCAAAUACAAAAAACCAUAUUUAAUUCUUUAAAAUAAUAUAUUUAUAAUAAAAAAGUUAGUGUUUAUAAAGACGAUAAAUAAAUAAAAAAUAUUUAAGAAAAUUAAAAUAAAAAAUAACAUGAAAAACCUUUAAAAAUCAUCUUAAUACUUAUUUAUAGAUAAAAAUAAAUAAAUUUAACGAUUUUCAUAAGAAAAGUAAAUAAAAUAUACAUAGACAAUUAUUGUAAUUUCAACUUAAACAUACCAUUGAUAAGAGAGCAUGUAUUUGUUAAGCAAAUUUGAUUAAAAAAAUGAUAUUAUUAACGAUAGAUUGAUAGAUAUUUGGUGGACAAAUUAUAAUUCAUAAUUCUUUGAGAAAAUUGAAUCGACGGGAUAAAUUAUGCAAAAUCAUAAAUUAUGCAUAAUUACCGACAAUUAAUCUCAAUUCUAAAAGCGACUAUUUCAUACAUUCCAACAUUAUGUAAUGCACAAUGAGAUUAAUAUAACAAGUAUAACUCAAAUUGACUAUCAAAAACCAAAAUUAAUGUUUCAAACUAAUGAAAUCAUAAUCAGAACUCAAUAAUUUAAAUUAGAUUCCAAACAAUUUUACUUACCUAACAGUAAUAGGGUUAAAUACGUUUUUAGUCCCUAUACUUUAGGGUGAUUUUGGUUUUAGUCCCUCUUUCAAACUAAGUACAAUUUAAUCCUUUAACUUUAGAAAACUAUGGUUUUAGUCAUUUUUACCAAAUUUUUUUAACUUUAUUUGUUGUUUCAAACGCGUUUCUCAGUUAGCAUUGAAGCAAAAAUGUGUUAAACAGUGUAAACAAUUCAAAUAAUAUAAUGAAACGUGCUUGAAACAAAAAAUAAAGUUAAAAAGAAUUGGUAAAAAUGACUAAAACUAGAGUUUUAUAAGGUUGGAGGACUAAAUUGUAUCUUAGUUUGAAGGGGAGACUAAAACCAAAAUCGCUCCUAGGAACUAAAAUCAUAUUUAACCCAUUGUAAUAUUAUAGAUAAUAAUAAUAGAAGUUAAAAAAACAUAAAGACUUUUGGAGACACGAUGAAAUACUUGCACAACAAUAAAAACAAAAUCAAACUACUUUUCAAUUGAUAAGUUAGUAAAACUGUAAAAUAUUUAUAGUAAAAAAAUCAAAGAAUUUAGCGAAAAUAUAUUUAAAUAUAAAACAAAAAACAACUAAAAUUAGUCUUAAAUAGAUAGAUAAAUUAUUCAUGUUUGCUACCUUCUAGUUACUAGGAAUGGUUUUUGAAAAAGAUGAAAAACCUGUAAAAAAGGAAAGGACAAGCUAAAGAAAAUAUUUUAAAAUAAAAGUAUAGGCGAAAAGGAAUAAAAAUUCCAUAAAGAAAUAAAAAUAAGAAAAAAGAAAAAGAAAAAUGAGUUCAAUUUUAUGAAAUAAUUAUCUUUCCAAAUUUUCUUUCUAAACUUUAUCUCUACCAUCAAUCUAAAUUAAUGACCCUAUCUUCAUACUGUAAAAGAUAAAAAAGAGUGUAAAUUGUUUGUAACAAAGACUUUUACACAUUAAUCCAAUCAAUGAAUAUACCAGAGUAGAUUUUUUUUUUUAAAAAAAAACAGGUUAUUUUUCGGAUUCUCAGUAUGUCUUGUUUAUCUAUUAGUUUAUGUGGGCUUAACAUAUGUAGUUUAUAAACUCUACAUAUAAAAAUAUCUAUUUUUGGAUAGUUACAUAUAUCUAGUUUUGGGUAGUUACAUAUUUUGACCAAAUCUUCAUAUUAAGGUCUUAGAAUAUAUAUUCAAAUCAACGUUUUAAAUUAAAACAAUUUAAAAGUAGAUUAUAUAUAUAUAUAUAUAUAUAUAUAUAUAUAUAUAAUUAUCUUGUAUAUUAAUAAUAAAUAUACUACUUGAUCAAAUUGUAUGUUGUCAAAAUGUAAUUAUUUUAAAUUUUUAUAUUUUUAACUUAAUUAUGUUAAAUUAGAAUUUUUAUAAUUAAUAUUAAACUAACUGUAAUUAAUAACAAAGACUAGAAAAUAAUAUAUAUUUUUGUAGAAUAUAAUCAUACCUACAAAAUAAAAAACAUACUUUAAACAAAACUUGAAAAUACCCGUCCGCAUGAAAAUAAACUGAAAUAUGAUAUUGAUCGAGGUGAGUGUGUAUCACAAAUAUUGAUCAACAAAAGUGGAAAUUGAAUAAAUUGGAAAUGGUAUUAGUUGAUUCUGGUAAACUCUGAGCUGUUGAAUAAGACAAAAUGGGGAGAAAUUAAAAGUUUUAAGUUGAAAUUGAAAAACGGGGAUAGGAAGCAAGAUGGAUUGAUUGAAAAAAGAGGUUUGAAUAACACUGAUAUAUAUUGCGACUAAUUCGUCUUUGAAAAUUAUAUUUUUUGAGUAAUUUUUCUUUGAAGAUUUAGAUAGUUGGGUCGUAGGGACAACAAUAACAUGACAGCCUAAGAACACAAAAAAAAUGUUAAAAUAGGCAAAAUGCUUUGUCAAAAGUUAGCUAAAUAUCAAUCCCACUUCCUUCACAACCAAGUAAAUGCGAAUACUUAAUCACCCAAAGUCGUAAGCAACUUUGAAACCAACUACCCAAUCUUUCACAAUGAUACAUAUACUCAUUUUUAAUCUAAUCCUUCUACAUAUUUUAUUUCAACUAUUAACUACUUUUAGCUAUUUAGUCCUUAGAUAAAUAUUUUCACUUUUCAUUUUAUUUUUUUUUCUUCGUUUUUAUUCUAUUAAUUAUUGUGUCUUUUAUAUUGUUUCAUCAAAAGUUUUCACAGGCAAACGCUUGUUUUUUAAAAGAAUUGAAACUUUUAAAUUUAAAUAUAUAUUUUUUUCUUCAAAUACGUCUAGAAAUAAAGUCACGACAGAACUCUCAACUAUAAAAAUUAAGAAGUUAGACUGAUCAAACAUUUGUUUGGAGGCUAUAAAAGUGAAAUCUUUAUAAACUUUACUCAUUAAAAAUGAGUAUUAAAGUUUUUUAAAAAAGUAAACUUUGUAUUUUCUAUAAAAUAGUUGCUGACAAAUAUUUUUAAUUACCCGUGCUAAAGUUAAUAUUUUAAUUUAAAACGAAAUAAAGUAAAAAUAAACAAUUCUAAAAGGUUGUUUCACCAAACUUUAUUAACAUUAAAUAAAUUUAUACACGAACGAGCUAACACGACGUGACAUAGUGAGAGUAACUUAAAUGGUUUAAAUAUUAGACAAGUAUCAUCGUGGAUAUCUUGAAUUGAUAGCAUUACAUGGUUUUUCUUUAAAAUUUUUUUCUUCAAUUUCAUUUAAUUUGUAAAAUCAGUUAUUCAUAUAAUAAGUUCGAUGAUUGAACCAUCAAUUGAAAUUUAAAUAGUAAAUUUUUUCGUAAAUAUAUAUAUAAUUUAUAUAGUUGUCAAAAUGAGUUGUCAUCGCGCGUUUGAGUCAGGUUAAAUUUAAAAAAAAUAUAAUUUUUUAUGUAGAUUAGUUUUCAACCUAGUUCACUUAGAACUCGGAUUGAACAUGUGGUGAACGGUUGGUUCACCAACUCACCUAAUUUAAUUUAAUUAUUUAUUAUCUUGUGUUUUAAUGUUAUUAAUUAAUAUUUUUUUAUUAUAUUGUAUAUGGGAGUUAAAAAACAAUGUUUAAAGAGAAAAAAAUAUUAUAGAUGAUACAAAAAUUAUUCAUACAUAAAACUUAUUAAUAUUUGACUCACUAAAUGAUGAAUUUUGUGAUGAUUUAUCGUUUUAACAACUUUAUAUAUAAAUCGAAUUCUAAUAGAAAUAAACUAUUUUAAAACCACCUCUUUAUGUAUUUAUUUAAAUAAACUCUGAUCUGAUUAUAAAUUAUUUAUGUUAAUUUUCCGAGUCUUUAGAUGGAAGAAAAUAGAUGGAAAAAUAACCUUAACAUCAUAGUCGUGGAUUUACAAGAUUGAAAGUGAUUGAUAACUUUGGUCAGAUAUUUUCACCAUUCCGCGUGUUGAGCGUGUUUGGCUUGGUAGAUAAACGAGCAAAAAGAGUGAAUGAAUGGUGCAUAAAUGUAGAGGAUUUUUGUUUUGCAUGAGUAUAUUUUUAAGAUCAUUUUUCAGACAUUCUUUAAAAUUGUUAAACACGAUACUUUAGAAUUCGUCUGUUACAAUCAAAACAACCAGGUCCCAUAUAUCCAAGGCAUGCCUUAAACCAUCAAAUAGAAAAAAUUAAAAUAAAAUUAAGAUUAUCAUCUUCUAAGCAUGAUUAAGAAGAUAAUAUUGUUCAAGUCCAACGCAAAAGUACAAGACAUGUAUAUGAAUUAAUUUAUCCAGCAUCUUUUACAUCUAAUUAUGUAUGUGUUAAUUCAUCCUGUAUUUUUAAUUCAGAUAGUUCAUUUUGACAAUAUAUGUUUGGAAGAGUAUCCGAAAAUUUUAAUUCAAAAUUAAUUUUACUUAAUAUAUAUUUUAAAUGAUGUUUUAUUUUACAAAAAUAAUUAAUACUAAAUUUUAUGACAAUUUUUCACUAGAUAUCAAAAUUUAAAAGGUUAUUUUUUUAACCUAGAAAUAAUUUUAAAUUUCAAAUUAUUUUUAACACAAAUGAAACCGGACAUGAUUGAUCGAAAAUUAUGUUGGUUGGUACUUUCAAUCUGUUUAUGGAUAACACCAGUGAAUCCAAGCACAUGUUAGUAUGAACUGCAGCCAACAUCUUUAUCUAGAAGUUUUCGAGACUUGAACCAAAUUCAAAGUAUCAAACUGAUGCAAACUAUGUUGAAAAAAAAAAAGGAAAAUCUAAUUUUGAUUUUCAUAUCAUAUCAAUUAUUUAUUUAAUUAUGUUUGCGUUCUUCUUAUAAUAAUGCUACCUGUGUUUGAUAGUGUAAUGUGGGUUCCAUCUAUCUAUCCAAAUAAUAUAAAUUGUGGACCUAUGAUAUUGUUUUUCAAGGACAAGUUUUCAAUUAUUUAAUUUACUCGACAUGGGUUCUAGAUACGGAUUCGUGUGGAAAUACUAAACAUUUUUUAACUUGAUUUUAAGUGUUUAAGUAUUUUAUACAUCGAUUAUUAGAACAAAUUUCAUAAACAAUUUGUUUAUGUUAUGGAAAUUAUUCAUCAUAGAAAAAUGGAGGAAUAAAACAAAGUACAUCGGAAAAUUGUAGAUGAAAAAGAUCGUGAUUGUAAAAGAUUUGCAGGAACGUAAAAAAUAUAUAUUAAGGAUAAAAUUAAAAUUGAUAAAGAAAUCAACGAAAGUAUUGAUCUUAUAAUUACUAUAUAUUAAUCUUGAUUUUUUUUUCUUCUGUUUAUUAAUAUUGUUUCAAUUUAUGAGAUGAUGUUAUAAAUCUUAUAAGUUGUAUAUAUCUAAUUUUUGUAUUAGUUUCUUUUCGUAAAUCAUAUAUAUUUUUAUUUUAAACUUAUAUUUAUAGUUUUUCAAAUAAAUUUUAUAUUAAUAAUAACCUAAUCGCUAUCUAAUUGUUAAUAAUUCGAAUGUGUUGUAAACUAAUUAAUAUUGAUAUUAAUUUCAGGAGAUACUAAUUGUUUGGUUGAUUAAACGAUAAUCAUUUGGUUUAAUAUGUGAGAGUAACUGUGGGAUCAUAUAAUACAAUUAUAAAAAAAAAAAAUUGAUCGAGAAAUUUAGAAGAAAAGAAAAAACAAACGCAUGAAAUAAAAAAUAAAUCUUAGAAAAAGGUAAUAAAAAACAAAUAAAAGGUGUGUUAGAAAGCUUUGAUUAGAAAAAACAAUUACGCAAAACGAAUGUAAAAUUAACCAUCUCUCCUCAUUUGAAAUCAGAAGUAAAAAUUAAUUUCUAUUCUAAUUUUUUAUACUUAAUGAAUUUGAAAAAAAUUUCUUAAUCCUCAUCUUUAUAAAAAAAUGGGUGCACCUCUACUCGUUCUUUUGUUGUCAUGAAAUGUUAAUUAAAUAAUUUUAAAAAAUAAAAUAAAAACUACACCAAAUAAGACAUUAUAUUGUUAACUUAUUCAAGGAUAAAAAUACACAAUACUUUUUUUUGAUAUCAAAUAGCAAUAAAUAAAUUAUAAUUAUAUAAAUAUCAAAUAAUAAUUCAAUAAAGAUAAUAUAAUUCUAAAAAAAAGUAAAAAGUGAUAGUGUCUUAUAAAUAAGUUUGAAAACCUAAGACAAAAAAUAAUUAAUAGAGUUAUCUAAUAAAUUAAAGAUAUUUUAGUAGAUGAAAACGAGUAUGAGGAUAUGGAUGAUACAAAUUGGUACUUACUUGUCUACAUUUAUGUCUCUAAACUUAAUUUAGAAAAAUUCACAUCUUCAUAUUUAAUUUAAUAAAUUAAAUAUUAUCAAUAUUCGUAUUUAUUUUCUGUCAAUAUGUGAAUUCUCAAUUAAAAUCAUGAUAAAUUCAAACAAUACGAACCAAGAAAAAUUCUUUUUUUCAUCCAUAAUUUUGAUUAUAAAUUGUAGUAUUGUAUAACAUAUGUAAUAAAGAAUCAUGAAAAUAAACAACCUACGUGUCAAUUUUAUCUAAUUGGUUGAGCACGUUUAUCAUGUGUCCAUUUGAUGACUAUUCUUUUUUUUUCAUUCAUUUAACUACGUUUAGCAUAAAAAAAAGAGUUUUGAGAAUAAAUUAUAAAAGAAUAAGCAAUAAGAUUAAUUAGUUUAAUCAAAUCUAUUAUUAUUUAACCUAAUGAAAUAUAAUAAAAUGAGAGUAAUUGUCUCAUUUAUUAAGAAUAAGAAAAUAUUUUAAUAUUGUAAUGACAAUCUUAUUAAAUCAAUGUAUGCUCAAAGUCUAUUAUAAGGUAAAAUAAGACACAAUCUUAAACAAGUGUAUCUAUGUAAAUCAAUUUUAUCUUAUCGUAUUCAGACAUAAUUUUACUCGAAUAGCAAAUAAUCAUGUAAGUAUAUUUUAAAAGAUUAGUAGCAUCUAAUUAGAAGCUAACACUUUAUUUAUAUUAAACACUUUUGAUAUACAUUCAAAUAUCAGUUUUAUGGGUUAAGAUAAGUUAAUUAUACAAAUAAUGUUGUCACUUCUUACCAUUUGAUAUUUUAGUUUUCAUUAUUUAAAUAAUUUAUGAAAUAGGAUAUAUGCUUUUAACAGUAAGUUCAUAUGCCUGAUAUCAUAAACCACUAUUCAAUAUGGGAUCUCAAAUAAUUUAAUUUAAGAUAACAUGCAUUAAUUCAAUUUAUUUUCACAUAUAUAUUAACAUUUAAGUUCAACCAUAGUGAAUAUUACCUCAUUGGACAUUUUUAUAUAUAAGCACAUGUUAUACAAAAUUAAUCCAUUUGAACUAAAUAUAUAUCAUAAAUUCAAUCACAUGGAAGAGAAUUUAAGUUACAAAUUUUUUUUUAGUGAAAAUAUUAAAAAAAUGAAAUUUAAAAUUUUCACAAAAACUAAUCUACAUAUUUACUUUAUCAAUUAAACUCAAGGAGUACUUAGACAUGACUAUUAAACACUCAAAUUUUAAAAAGAAAAAUAUUCAACCAAUUAUCUUCAACUAUAUUAAAAUUUGGUCUUGAUACAUCUUAUAUAUAGUUUGCAAGCUAUAACCACUAUCAUCCAAUUCGACUAUCUCAAUCAAAAUUGUGUUUAAAAUAAAGUAUAAAAAAUAUAUAUUUGAUGAAUAUUGAAAAAAGAUUUUAAAGUAUGAUGAAAAAGAGAGAGAUAGAGAGAGAACAUAGAAAAUAAAUUAGUGAAGAGAAAGAAAUUAAAGGGAGAAGUUGAAAGAAUAAAAAAUAAAGAAAGGCAGGUGAGACAUACAUAAAUUAAAUUAAAAGAGUUGAAAAGGAAAGAAGCUGGAGAGGAGAUGAGAGAAAAUGAAAUGGAAUAAAAGGUGUAGAGAGAAAAAUAAAUUAAAGAAAAAGAGUUGAGAAAAAAAACAAGAAAGAAAUAAAGUAAAAAAAAAUAAAAGAUAAAUAAACAAAAAAAUGAAUAGCUAGUAAAAAUAUAAAAAAUCUAUUGAUAAAUAUGGUGUUUUUUUAUGUAUAUAUCAUUAUGUAUAUAUCAUUGUUUUGUCCAUUUAACAAUCCGAGAAAGAACGUUUAUGUAUAAUUUAAAAAAUCUAUGAAAGCUUAAUAACUAUUUUUUUAAUAAUAUUUUAAUAAUAUUAAUAAUAUUUUAAUAAUAUGACAAGUAUCAUUAUUUUAUUGAUUUAUUUAAAUUUAUUUUAAAAAAAAAUUAAAACAGAUCAAUCAGAAAAUUACCAAAAAAUUAUUAAAAAAAAAUGUUAAAUAUAUUUUUUCUUUUAAAAAAAUUGGGAUGUUAGUUUAAUUUAAGAAGAUGUUAAAAGAAUGGUACUAUAGAUAUUAUCACCUUGCAAACUACUGCUACUCCUACUUCAUUCCUCCCUUCACGUGGUGGUUGAGAAACCCAACCACCUUUUCUUCUACCAUAAUUCUUUCACAACUCUCCCAAACAUAUAAUCUAUUCCAACGCAUUUUAAUUCAAAACCUAUUAAAUUUUAUAUCUUAUUUUAAACAUUUUUCUAUUUUUAAAGUUUUAUAUGAAUUUUAAUCAUUAAACAAUGCGUGUUACAAUGGAUAUGUUAUUAUCACCCCUAAUAGUGUGGCCUAAGCAAAUCAUUAAGGAUUAAGUUUUAUUCCAUUUCUUGUCUAUAACGUGUUAUUAUUGCAAUAAAUUAAGCCAACGCAGCUCCCACUUGGGUUUCACUUUCUAACACACUCACCCAUCUGCCCCACAAUUUAAAACAAUUUAGUUUUCGUUCUUGCAUUAUCAACUAAGGUACCAAUCACAAUAGUCAAAUUACUUUACCAUCGUAAUACCAAGUUAGCAACUACACAAGCUCAUCUAUUGUAAGACAAUUUUACAACUACCUAUAAUUCAGAUUUCUUUCCACACGUUAUAGUAUUUUUCUUAUCAGGGAAAACCAUUUCAUGUGAUAAAAAGAAAAAAUAAACAAGACAUGUACAUUAAACAUAAACUAACAAAUUUAGCCUAAUAACAAAGUGAAGUUUAAAAUACAAAAUAUGAUAAAAAAUAAAUAAAUUAUUAUAAGUUUUGAAAAUUCUAUAUUAACACAGACAAAACGAAUCUAUAAUAUAUGAAUGUAAAUAUUAUCUUUUUGAAACAAUUUCACAGGGUAUAAAGUUUAUGUUAUAAUAUGAUAUUAAAAUCUAUCUUAAUAAGUUUUUUUAGUUUGAUAAGUUACUGACUGUUACAUUGUUAUCAAAACAUUCACAAAUAUUUAGUGUCAUGCUUAAGAUAUAUCGUUUUUAACUUGAAUAUGUAUUUAGAGAUCACACAUAGUUUAAAGAUAAGAUUAGAGUAAAAUAUAUACAAAACAAUCCAACAAUACUUCUUUUUCAGUAUUUUCAAUUCUAAAAUAGAUUUAUAAUUCCUACGAUUCUAAAACAACAUUUAAAGUUCAAACAAGUACCAAUUCACAAUUUUUUACAACAACAUUCAUCAAUCAUUUAUAUUCACUUAUCAAACAAAAAUAAUAUUAAAUAAAUAUCUUAAAUAAUGACAUAUUUAAUCAAACAUCAUUCUCACAACCUAGCAAAUAAAAUUUCAUACUUUUUAACACAAAUUAAAACAAACUUUAGCUUCCCUUACUCGGUAGAAGACCAAACCACUUUAUAAAGCCUAAAACAAUUUCAAUGUACAAGAAUUCUUAUAUGCUCUUACGAAUCAUAGAAACACAAUCAGGGUACAUCUUUAGGACCACUGAUCAACAGGGAGUCUUGUAAAAAACUCAAGUUUCACAUGCAAAACAAAGAAAACUAAUAUACAGUAAAACAAAUUUGACCAAAGAAAUGAGUAGAAAACCAACUUAGUGUGUCUGGGAAACCAAUUGGUUAGACUUCAAGAUUUCAUUGUAAGGAUAACUCAAACGUUCUCUAAUAUUCGAAUAUAUGAUCAAGGGAUGAGAACCUUCAGGCCUUGUUCACUUGAGUGAAUUUGGAGGAGAGUGAUUGAAAGGAUUUGAAGAUAAAUUUUUUUCUGUUGUUUAUUUGAAUAGAUUUGGAGGUAAGUGAGAGUAGAUUUGGAAGUAAAAUUUCUAAGAAUUAGUGUAAGAUUUAAUUUAUAUGACAAAUUAAAAAAAAAUUACUUCCAAAUUCACUCUCACUUACCUCCAAAUAUAUUCAAAUAAACAACAACAAAAAAUUGUUUUCAAAUCCUCUUAGAUCUUCUUAAUUACUCUCCCUCAAAUCCACUCAAGUGAACACAACUCUUGAGAGAAGUCAGAGAACUUUGGAAAAGUGAUUCUAAAGAGAUGUGUUUUAAAAUAAUUAAACUCAUACAAACUAUUUAUAUUAAAAUAUUUUAAUAUGGUUAUUUUAAAAUUACUAUUAUUUCUAAAAUACUAUUUUUUAAUCUUUAGAUAAAUAAUCGUUUCCAUUAAUUUCAUACAUCAUUUCAAAUCUACCACAAUGACCAUUUUAAGAAACACAUUAUCAUUUACUAAAAAAAAUAUAUGACCAAUGAAUAUUAUUAUUGCAAGUAUGAAUUUUGAUGUAAUAGAUGUUUAUUGGAUUUAUGAAGUGGAAAUUACAAAUCUUCUAAGUUGUAUAUCGAAAUUCUUAUAUGACUCCUUAUAUUGUUUACUUGUUUUUUUUAUGUUAAACUUAAUUUUUAACUAUGGUUAAAUAUAUUUUUGGUCCUUCAACUUUUAGUAAAAAUUAGAAUUACUCUCUUUUUCAAAAUUUUGACUAAUUUAGUCCCUUAUCUUUAAAACUGUAUAAAUCUAGUCCCUUUAAACAAUUUUUUAAGUUUAUUUGAGGUUUUAAAUUAAAUACAUUUCACAAUUAAUAUUGAAGAAAAAAAUGUGUUAAACAGUGUAAAUAAUUCAAAUACUAUCAUGAAAUGCGUUUGAAAUGUCAAAUAAACUUAGCAAAAUUUGGUUAAAAUUCAUAUAUUUAUAAAGUUGAGGACUAAAUUGGAUCAAAUUUUCUUAGAGAACUAAUUUCAAUUUUCACUGAAAAUUAAGGGAUAAAAACAUAUUUAAUUCUUUUAACUAUUAUAAUAAUUAAUGUUGAAUAAAUGUUUACCGUUCAAUUAGUUAAAUGAUUAUCGUUCAAUCAUACACAGAUUGAAUGAAUGUAUGGUUAUACAAUACAAAUUUAAAAAUAUACAAGGCAUGGAAAUGAAAAAAUAAAAGUUAUAAGAUAUUUUAUUUUAAAUCAUGUACCCAAUAUAUUAUGAAUUAAAAGAUAGAAUGUGCUAAUAAUAUACACAACUUUUAAAGAUAUGCUACAAGGCACGCACGACCACAUGAGUUUGACUCGAUAAAUUUGUGGAGGAAUAUAUAUAUAUAUAUAUAUAUAUAUAUAUAUAUAUAUAUAUAUAUAUAUAUAUAUAUAUAUAUAUAUAUAUAUAUAUAUAUAGGUAUAAUAGUAGCAAGUUAAUUGAAGGAUCAAAUCCAAAGAAUCUAUAUUUUUUUAUAUUAAUAAUAUUCUAAUCACAUUCCCACACACCAAUAUCAGUAUGAAAUUUUUAAAUCUCCAAAUUUACAUGCAAUACUUUAACUAAAAAAUAAUUCUCAUAGUUGUUAACUGGAAUAUAAUUAUAUGUAGCUGUUAACGAUAAGUUAGUAGCUUACUAUUUAGUUGUAAGGAAAAGAGUUAAAGUCAGGGACCGAGUUCAUAAUAUUCUGACCAGGUUAUGAUUUUUAGGUUUAAUUUGACCUUAGGUUUUAUUAGAUAACAAAAGAAAAUCCAUAACUGGGAAUAUUUGUAGAUAUAAUUUUAAAUAAAUCUUAAAUGGAUAAUUUUAAAUAUUUAGUAUGGAUAUUUUAUUAUCUACUUACUUAAGCUUAUGGACAAAUAUUGUGGUAUCAUGUAUUUGUUAUUAGCUGAACUUUAUUUGAAUAUUUUUUAAAUAAAUUCAAAUAAAAGUUGAGUUAUUAAUAAAAAUAUUAAUUAUUAGAAUUUGGAUUUAUAUAAUUUUAUUUUUUAUAUUUAAACAUAUGAAAUUAAAGUUAUUUUUUUAAACUUAUAUUUUAGGUCAAGUCAUUUAAAUUUGUUUUUAGAAAAAAAAAAUUAUUUGCGUUAUUAUUUCAGUAUGCAAAUUUAUUAAUUGUACUUCAAAACUAUUAUUUUUAUCUAAGAUAUAUAUAUAUAUAUAUAUAUGAGUAUUUAUAGACGCGAUCAAUUUUUUUAAUACUUAUGAGUAUUUUUUUAGUGGAUAAUCGGAUGUACAACAUGACAGAAUUUUUUUGGACUGGUAAGAAAUAGACAACAUACCCAUACCUAACUAAACAUGUUAUAAUCUAUAGACUCUAUCAACCACAUAAUUUUACUUAGAUUUGACAAUAAUCUAAAAUUAACAAAUUUUGAAAUUGCUUUAAUAAUGAUUUUUAAUUUACGAAAUUUAUAAUGAAACAUGUAUUUUAAAUGUUAGGUUAUAAAAUUAAUAAUUUUUAAAUAUAAUAAUUUGAAAUAUAUAUAUAUAUAUAUAUACCACGCGUAUAUAAUUUAGUAUUUUUUUAAUGAAAUAUGUUAAUUUAUAGUUUGACUCUUUGACACCUUUAAUUAAAAGUUAUUAAAAAUAACGUGAAAAAUCUAAACAUCAUUUUUUUAAAAAAAUAAACUAAAAAUAAUAACUAGGUUCUAUUUGUAAGUGUUAAUUGUGAUUCAUUUUAGAUAUCUGCUUAUAAAAUAUAAGUAAUUCUUAUCACUAAUGUUGAGAAAAAUAUUAUAUCACAACAUCAAAUACUACCAACUACAUUUUACGGAAAAACAUACAUCAAAUUCGAAAUGGCAUGAGAUAUAUGAUAUUUAUUUAAUAGUUUUACAAACUAGAUAUGUUAUAAAAAAAAUUAUUAAUUAUAAGAAGUAACGCAUCACCAUGAGUAGAGUGUGGAAUAUACGUUAAAUUUCAUAUGCUAUAAAUAUGUUACAAAUUAUUAACGAAAAUAUAGGUGGUGUCGUACUAGCGUGACCGUAAUUUUAUCAAGCUUACUCUUUUUUUUUUUUUUUAAUUUGUCAAACUUAAUUUGGUAUUUUUGUAAUAUAAUAAUAUAUUGAUGUAUUAAUUCUUAAAAUAAGAAUGUAGAAAAUAUUGUAUAACAGUAAAUGAGAAUUAUUAACCAAUUUAAAAAAUAUAACUGCAAUGCAUUCUCUAAAAGAAUGUUUAUAAAAAAUUAAAAUUAACGGAUACUAUUACUAUAAUCAUUUUAUUUUAUGAGAACGUCUAAAUUUAGGAAAUAUAUAAAAUAGUGUUUUGAAAAAUAUAAGAAAAAUGAUAUAAUUUACAUGUGGUUAUAAAUGACCAAUAAUAACAUAUUAAUAAACGGACUUGGUGAAACAGUGCAAGAUGAAAAGUUUUAAAAGCCUUAAUUUUGAAUUAUAUAAAAUUAAGAAGGUUGGUAAUUGUAAAUUACUAUAUAUGUAGGAUUUAGUUGUUAUUUUUUAUUAGUAUUUUUUUUCGUUGUUUUUAAGGGAAGAUAAUGAAGUAGAGAGGCUUUGAAGCACAUGAGAAACGUUGAGAUCUGGAAAGCAAAGGUGUAUCUUUUUGCAAAUAGGAAUAGUUAAAAUGAUAAAUAAUAAAGAGAGAGAGAUAAGAAUAGGUGUAACCCAUUGAUUGAGGCAUUGAUAGUGGGCAGCAUUAUCGUAGACAUUUUUAAUGCAAUUUUAAUUUUAUUUUAUUGACGUUGCCACCACUCAAGUAAACCUUUCAUUUCAAAGCUUCUUAGAAGGCCAACCCAAGUUUGCAAUUUUGAAUGCAAUUUCCAAGUCUAUUCAAAUCCCAUAUAAAAUUAGAAAAAUGAAUAAUGAAAAUUGAAAAAGCAAAAGCUUUAAUUCCUAAAACACCCUCACACUUAACCCUUGCUUUGUCCGUUUUUUCUUUUUCUUUUCCUUUUGGUACCAACCAAAACACCUAAAAAAACACCAGCCGAACCGGGCCGAAUAAAGCACCAAAAGCGGUCAUUGACUAGGCCAGUGGGACCCACGCAACUGACCCGGACUCCAACUCCAAAUUCAACUCCAUUUAAUAUUUUAAAAAAGGAAAAAGCAGCCACCAUAUUCUUUUCACAACAAAACCAUAAAAAGCUAAAAAUAAAUAUUUAAAUAAAAAAUAAGAAACAUGAAAACAAAAAGGCAAAAUCAAAGUCUGUGUGUAAUGGGGCUAAGAAUUCGGUCCCACGCGCCUGCGUCGUCAGCAUCAUUACACCGUACUCUCUCUCUCUCUCUCUCCCUUUCUUUCUUUUCUUUCUCUCUCCAUUGUCCCCCUUUAUAUAUAAGCCUCACGAGAUCUCUUCGCCACCACAACCCGCCGUGUCAACUCUCGUUGAAACACCACCGAUUAAACGUGUCUCUUCAAUCUAAUUCCCAAAACGCUACCGUUUUGGCCUUUCUUUCUAAGUAUGGGUGACAUCGAUUCCGAUUGCAAGAAGCGUGUCCGAGAUGACUCGGUUCUGGAAUCGCCCGAGACUAAGCGACUCAGGGACGAUUUACUCGAGUUCUUCGACGACGCCGACGAUGCUCCUUCCACACAGGACCUUGACUCCGUCAUGAAGAGUCUGCAGGAGGAGAUCUCUGGCGUGACGUCAGGUUCCGGCGAGUCUCAGGCGCAGAUCGGGUACCUCCUGGAGGCUUCCGACGACGAGCUAGGGCUUCCUCCAGCCGGAAGCUCGUCGGUGCCGGAGAAGAAAAACGAGGAGAAUGAGUUGAUCCGAGUGGCGUCUGACUCGUCCGGAAUCGGGGAGUUGUGGGAGUUUGAGGACCAUAUUUCAAGAUACGAUUCGUUUGAUUUGGGAAUGGGAUUCGGUUACGAGUGCGAUACUGCUACCGAAUACGCUGCGUUUGAGAAACUUUUCGAUCACUCGGAUGUGUAUUAUGAUUCCGCCGAAUUUUGUGAUACAUGGCGGCAUGAGACGUUGCCCACACAAUAGAUAUUUAAUUAAAAGGAAAAAAGAAAAAAGAAAAGGGUAUUAGAGAUGUACAUAUUUUUCACUGUUUUUUGUUCCCUUUUUCGUGAUGAAGGGAAUUACAGAAGAAGUUUAGGAUAACAGAUGCAAAGGAAAUUGCUUAGUUAUAUUUCUAAUACUUUAUGAAGGGAGUGUUUCUGACUGGGAACCAUUUGGACACAAUUCAGAGUAAAGUGUUGGUAUAUUCCCUAUAUUAAAAUCUAGAGUCUGAAUUUCACAUCUAUUCUAAUCAUCCCAGAAUUUUUUUAAAAUAAAUAUAUUAGUUUUGUUUUCUAAUUACAAUAACUGGAAAAUAGUCUCUCUCUUUUUCUGCCGUAUGAACUACUGCUAGACUGAAGAACACUCCAAAAUUUGGGUUUUUGUUUGGCAUGGAAAGGAAAGUGAAAACAAAACCUGAGAAAAUAUUAUAAUUGACUGAUAUGAUAAAAAAUUUAUUAGUAAUAUUUGAUUUUAUUUUAUUUUUUGUUCUUCAAUUUUAUCAAAUUAUAUUUUAUUUAUCAACAAUGGCCCUUAGUAUUUGUGUUUCUUGUAAUAAGAUACAUUCAUUUGUUUUAUAAAUUUUGGAUAGUACGAUUUGCGUUUUGUAAUUAAAUGAUAUUAAUAUUAUAGAUGAUUUCUUUGGUUUCAAAUUUUUUAAAAUGAUUUUCGUCUGUUUUAUGCUUUAUUUUCUAUAAAAAGGAGAAUAAUUUGGAUUAGAACUUCUUUUAUUAAAAGGAGAGUAGAAUGGGCAUUCUAAUGUUUUAGUUAGUACGCGUAAAAUGUUUGUAAUUAAUUCAUAAAAGGUACUUCAAUUACUUUUAAUUUUUUUAAACAUUUUAAUAUUAAAAAUAAAAAAUGUGUAGAAAUUUUACGUUUUCGAUAUUUUUGAAUUCAACACAACUAUCAUUUCUAAGUUGAAAUUUUUCUCCCCGCUAUUUCUCUUCCCUUCCUCGUGAAAAAUAAUCAAUACAAGCGUAAAACACCAAACUAAAAAUUAUACAAAUUCUUCACUCUCAAACAAUUUUAAUUUCGUUUAGGUUCUCUUUCUUUAAGAAAUCACAUAAUAAGAUACAACUUUAUACAAAUUUUACGCUCUCCUCUUGUAGUCAUUUCUCUGAAUCAAAUACCAUGUAAGUAAAGUAUACUCUUUAAAAGAUAAUUAAUGGAUAUCAACAUUAUCUAAACAAAGGAGAAAAAACUGCAAAUAAUUUUAAGAUUUAACGAGUAACAAAUAUAAAGUGGAAAAAAAAAUGAGGAGCUUUUAUGAAAACUAUAUGAAUCGGAAUAUGUUCAAGAAGUUAUUUUUUAGAUUGAUUUUGUAUUUAAAUUUUUAUUUAUUCUGUGUCUUCAAAACUACUUUUCAAUAAUUUAUUUCAAAAAUUUGUUAUAGGAGUAUGAUAUGUUAACUAUGAUUGAUUACGUGUCAUUAUUUUAUUAGUAGUAAAUUUGAAACGGACCAAUCACAAAUAAACACACAAACGAUUAUAAAAAACAAAAUUAUUAAAAGAUAUUUUUGUUUGUUAAAUUAUAUGAGGGAUAAAAAAUUUCACAGUAGUUUGAAUCAAUACCUCAACUAGAAAAACUGCAAUAAUUACUUUUAGACUUUAUAUAUUAUCUGAAAUUAUAAGUUUAUAUAUAUAUAUUAAUGUUAUAUAUAAGUGCAUAUGAGUGUUCAAUGAUGUAUAAAACAUUUUUUAUUUUUAAUUUUUAUCUCUCAUUUUUUUUUGACUUUGUAAACUUUGAUUACAAAAGUAUAACGAUCAUUUUAAUAAAUUUGUUUUACUUAUAGUUAAUAUAAAAUUUUCAAUAUAUCCUACUUGUAUCGAAAUAUAUAUAUAUUAAGUGUGAAAUUAAAUAUCGAUAAUUGUUGAAUAAUAAUAUAAUACAAGAUUAAAUAAUACGAAUAAAUAAGAAUUUUUUUAUAUAGUAUAAAUUGAGUUUAUGUGGAGUUUUAACAUAGAAGAAACAAGUUUGGUAGACGGAUGACAAUUAUUGGACGUGAUGAUGGCAUCGUUAAUAUUGGGGGUAGACGAAGAAAGGAGGAUGGUGGGUUUUGGGCCUAACUUUUCUGUAUUGCUUAAAUUUCUUGCAGAUUUUACUUAUUACUUGGCCAAUUUUUGGUGAGUAAGCAACUGUAGCUUCUAUAAGCUUUGCAAGUGGCUGACACCUCACCGCACUUUAACAGUAGAAUAUAAUUCAAGGGCUGUUCAAUUACUGCAAAAGUGAACUUAGAUUUACAACAUAUAGAAAAAUAAGGCUUUGUAUUUAGAAGACAGAAAAGGACAUAUUCUUUGUUAUGCGAAGCGAUGGUAGGCAUAAAAUGAUAGGUAAACCUAACUCAUCCAACACGACUUCACACCCAAAUAAAAGAAAAUGAAUUAGAUGGAUUAAUCCCGUUAAGGAAAAUGAUGCUGCACACCACUAUUGAAAACUAUACACAUAAUAAAUGCUUCAUUUACGUCACCGUUUUAGUUUAAGCUGUUUCAACAGUGACCUUUUCUUUCUUCUAUUUUACACAUAUAGACCAUACCCUAUAUCUCUAUCAUUUAUUCCACCCCACGCCUUUUUCAAACCUGCCAUUUGGAUCAAAGUCUUACCUAUAACUUAUUUAAAAAGAAAAUAAAUUUCAUCGUCAAGUUUUUAAACCAACGGUGAAAGUUCAACACAAGUGAGUAUAAAUCUUAUUUUACAAAUUAGUUUUGUAUGAAUGAAUUAGAUUUAAAAUCGAUUUCUUAAUACAGUAUCAGAAUAUAUAGACAAAAAAUAAGAUCAAUUUAUAAUAUAUAAAUAAAUACAAACCUCGUUUUAUAAGUUAGUUUUGUAAAAACGAAUUAAACUUAAAUUUCACUUUAAUAAUUAAUGUAUUUUUGCUUUAUUGUUGUGCUGAGCAAACUCUGGUAACAUAAACAAACUCAUGGUUAUAUUUUUCUCACAAUACCAUACAUGUUCAAUAAAUUAUUUAUAGGUGUUAUAGUAGAAAAUGCCUUGUUUAAAAGUUAUAAUACGGCAUAUGAAGUUAUUUAAUAGUAAGAAGGAUAGAUAAAUAUGUGCUUUCAAAACAGUAUAAUAAAAUUAAUAUAAACAAUUUAUUAAUAGCUUUUCAAAAAUGAUUCUAAUAAUGUUUUCGGUAUGACAUAUCAAAUAUAUUUUUUUUUUAAUUUUUCGUCUAUGAAUACAUCCUAUAGGGGAUAAAUAAAUUGUGUUGAUACGUUAUUUUUUAUUAUUUUAAUUUAUCAAAAAAAAUAAUUUUCAUUGGUUUAUGCAAAAGUCUAACAACAAAUAAGUUGGUGCUUGUAGCUUCUCGCAGUCAUAUAUAAAAAUAAUUUUUAAAAUACUUCAGUGGGUAUAUUUUUUAAAUUUCUUUGAAGAAAAAUUAUUACAACUAAUAGCAAAGAGGAAGUUAAAUUCGAUGGCGAAGGAUUUUUGCAACUAGCUUGGCCCAAGUCUGGCCCGUUAGAUACGGGCCGAGUAUGGACCACAUCAGGUUAUUUUUAUUGCCAAGGACAGGGUACUAUUUGGGUGUUUCAUCCUCCACAUCCAAGCUUUCAUUUGCACCUCCAAAAAUUACCAUUUUAACCUUAAUUAAUAUUAUUUUAAUAUUUUCUCUUUUUUCAUAAAGUUAUUCUGCACCCCUCUAACUUUUUCUCUCUUAUUAUAAUUUUUUUUCUCUCUUAUUAUAAUCAUCCUACACCAUUUUAAUAGACUUUAAAAUCUAUACAAUUUUUUUUAUAAAUUUUUUAAAUUUCAUUUUAAAUUUAAUAAUAGNUUAAUUUAAUUUAAAAUUUUAAAAUUAUUUAAUAUACGUUUAUUUCUUAAUAAUUAUUAAAAUAUAAUUUUUAUUAUUAUAAUAGUUAUGUUAAAAAAAUAAAAACAAAAGUAACUAAAAUAAAAAUAGCAAUAAUAAAUAUUAAAAGAAUUCUUUUAAUAUUUAUUAUUGUUACUUUUAUUUUAGUUACUUUUUUUUUUAUUUUUUUAACAUAACUAUUAUAAUAAUUAAAAUUAUACUUUAAUAAUUAUUAAGAUAUAAAUGUGUAUUAAAUAAUAUUAAAAUUUUAAAUUAAAUUAAAUUAUUAUUAAAUUUUUUUUAAAUUUUAAAUCUCGAAAUAUGAAAUUUAGAAAAUUUAUAUAAAAAUUGUAUAGAUUUUAAAAUUUAUUAAAAUGAUGUAGGAUGACUUUAAUAAAAGAGAAAAAAAAUUAGAAGGGUGUAGGUUGACUUUAAUAAGAAAGAGAAAAAGUUAGAGAGGUGCAGAAUCACUUUAUGAAGAAAGAGAAAAUAUUAAAAUAAUAUUAAGGUUAAAUUGGUAAUUUUUGGAGGUGCAGGAUGAAAGCUUGGAGGUGGAGGAUGAAACAUCCGUACUAUUUUCCUUAUAAAAAAAAUAGCACAGAAUACAGUUUUGAUUUACCAGAGAAGAAGACGGAUUUGAGAAGGUGGACGAUCAUUAUGAAAUUUAAAUUGCUGGUUUUUAUUUUUAAAUUUACUAGGUGACUUUUUUUUAUUGUUGUGAAAAAAUGUGAAUAUAGACCAUUCGAAUUGUUAUAGUAUUUUUCUUAAGUCAGUAUCUUUAUAUCUAAGCAUACACAAAAUUAUAGUAUUUUUCAAUAUUUAUGAAAUAUAAAUUUAAAAAUCUACAAAUUACCAACUAAAUGAUUUAGUUAAUCUCAAAAGUGUAUUUGAAAGAUAAAUUUUAUAUAACACCAAAUAAAAGCAAGAGUUCGGGAUUAUAUUUCAAGACACUGAAAGCAUAAUUACUUAAUUUUUCAUAUAUGAGUCUCAUAAGUAAAAUAUAAAUUAUAUAUUGUUUCUACUGUAAUGGGACGAGAUGACGUCUGUAAUGUUUUUGUCUUUGCUGAACACUUAUUCUAAGUUUUGCUCUGUGUGAUCAAUCGAUGUAUGGGAAUGACUUGUAGAAUAUACUUUGGCGUUCAAGUCAAAUUUUUUUCCUGGAAAUCUAAAUAAUACAAUGAUAAAAAAAAUGAGUUUACCUCGAAAUUAAACAUUUAUUUAUAUAGUUUAUAAGAAUAUUAUCGGUUAAUUUACUUAUUAAUGAUCAUUAAUACAAACAUCAACCAUUCGUAAGUAGUCAUUAUAAUAUUAAUUGUAUUUUAAUUCGGUUUGUGGGACCGUGUGGAUGCGAUGUUCUUUUUUGCACGUUAAUGUCUCGGUCCUUUCAAACUAGUAUGCUAUUAUAUCCGAUCGGCGAGUUAUAAAUCCGUAAUAAUAAAUCAUUAUUUAAUUGUCAAAAUUAUUUAUAUUUAUUUUUAUAAUUAUAAUUUCAUUUUUUUAUAAAAAAAUAACAUAUAUAUACGCAUUUCACUGGUAAAAAUAAAAGUGUUUUUUUUAUAUCAAUAUGUGAAAUAUGUUGAAUUGAUUUAAUAAUUAUAUGAAGCAAACAUUCAAGUCUCUUAAAGUAAAUAUAACCUCUUUUUAUUAAUAUAUGGAGUAAAAAUUAUAUUAACAGUUACAAUAAAUUCAAAAUUAGGAGUAAAAAAUUAGUUUGAUAAAAGAUUUAUCGAUGUAUAGCCAAAAGUCGUUAUUUUGUUUUGUUUCUUUUCCGAAUGAUGAAUACUUAAUUUGAAUAUUGCGAUAUUUUUUUAAGGACACUGAAUUUGGAAAUUGAAAUAGUUGAUGUGAUAUUUUAAUUGAUUUUCAAUUUUAAUUCGUUUGAUUAUGCAAAAGCAGGUUGCGUCGGUGGAUAUAGAUAGUAUUUACCAGUAAUAUGAUUUGUCCGAUAAAAAUCUAUCUUUUAUCCUACUUGUUACUUAUUAUGUAUCCCUUUAAAAAUUAUAUGCAGAUAUUUUAAAAUUUACGGAUAUCUAUAAAUAUCCACAAAAAAUUAAAAAUAAUAUAUUUUAUACAUUUUAAAAUAAAAUUAUAAAAAAAUAUAAUAUAGUAUAAAUUAAAUUAAAUAUAAAUUAAAAUUUAAUUUUAAUUAAAUUUAAUUUAAUAAAAUAUAAUUUAAUUUAAUUUUAAUUAAGUUUAAUUAAAAAAUAUAUAAAAAUAAUUUUUUAUUAUUUUUUGCAAAACGAAUAUCAGCAAAUUUGUAGUAUACUAUCUAUACUCGACCUAUUUAGAAGCGAAUAUUAAAAUACCUACUAGUUGUUAUUCGCAAAUAUAGUAGUUACCUACUGAUGUAUGUGCCAGCGAAUUUCUUUGUUAUCCGUAAUUGUGCCAUUGUAAAAUUAUAAAUUAUAGAGCUAAAAUUUCGAGUUAAAAAAAAAGGGAGUUACUCCCUGUACCUCCCCAAUUCCAACUCCCACACCCCCAAUUUUUUUGGAUUUUUUUUAAAUACAAAAUUAAUCUUUAUGUUUUUUUUUUAUUUUUACCGUUUUACACCUAUUUACUAAAGUUAACCUACUCUUUUACAGUCUGCCUCAGUCAAAACACACAGACUCAAAUUCCUCUCCUUCGUAUUCCCACUCCCACCCCCACCAAAGCUUUUGAAACUCUCCUCCUCCAAACGCUCUCUGCAACUCUCACUCUCCCAUUUAUACGUUAAAAAUAUAUUUAAAAAUAAUACAUCAAAACAUAUAAAUUCCAUUAUUAAAAUAUUUGAAAAUUAAUAUAAAAAGUAAACUAAUAAAACAAAUCUUAAAAAUGGAAUGGGGGGGUGGGGGUUAGAAUUGGGGAGGUACAGGGAGUAACCCCCCAAAAAAAAAAUAAACUGGUGUCUUUCAUCGGUAUGGGCUCGAAAAAUGUAAGCCCUGUCCACGAGAGUUUUUAUAUUUCAGCCCAAAGUGCAAGUUACCUACAAAAAUAAUGUAUGAAUUAUUUGAAUUUGACUUUUUAAACGUUGGAAACCUUAACAAAUUAAUUCGGGAAAUAAAAAUACAAUUUUGAGAUUGGAUUCAAUUAUUUAAACAAGUCAAAUUAAAAAUUUAUAAGCUUAAUAUCAAAUUAUUAACGGCUCAAUUUUACAGCAGCUUAAUAAAUAUUCGUUUUUAUUCCUAGAUAAUUUGAAAACAAAGAAAAUUACAAAAUUAAAUUAUUACUUAGGUAUUUUCAAACAAUAAUUAACUUAAUCUCCUUAUAGGAAAACUUUUUAUUUUUGUUGGCGAAACUUGUUAGUCUCCUUAUACAGUGUACUUUUAUAAGUCAGUAAUAUAAUUUUUCAUGGAAGACACUAUAAUUUAUUCCACAAUUUCUACAGAUAAUUUUUAUUUAAUGUUAUAAUUACUUUUUAAGAAACCAUUAAAAUAUUUUUCAUAAUUGACAUAUUUAAAUGUUAAAAUGGGAUCGCAUUAUAUAUAUAUAUAUAUAUAUAUAUAUAUAUAUAUAUAUAUAUAUAUAUAUAUAUAUAUAUAUAUAUAUAUAUAUAUAUAAAUAAAGGUUUGUUACAUAAAUAUUUUUGAAAAACAUUUUACGUCUUCAUUGUUAGUGGUAUAUAACAAAUUUAAUGAGAAAUCGUUAAUAAGAUUAUUUAUUAAAAAAUAUUAUUUAAAUUUAUGUUUUAGAAAUAUAAAUUGAUUGUAAUAUUCUAUACAUACAAAAUGUGCUGAAAAGUACAUUUUUAUUUUUAUCUAAAAUUUAUAAGUGAUACCAAAUGCCUUCAAAAUAUCUUUGGCAUCAUAUUGUGUAUUUUUUUACAAUGCACAUCCAAAUAUAUUGAAGAAUUAUUUAAAGGCUUAAUACCUUCCUUAGUUUUCGUAUUUGUGUGAAAAUCUCAACUUGGUCCUCAAGUUUUGAACUGUCUCAAUUAGGUCAUAAUUUUUGUAAAAAUGCACACAUUUUACCCCAACCGUUAACUGAUUUCAAACGGCGUUAAGUUUAGCUGACGUGAUAUGUUGACGUGUUGGCUUAAUCCCUUAUUGGUCCUCGUAUUUGUGUGAAAAUCUCAGUUCGGUCUUCAAGUUUUGAACUGUCUCAAUUGGGUCAUAAUUUUUGUAAAAAGCACACAUUUUACCCUAAUUGUUAACUGAUCUUAAACGGCGUUAAGUUUAGCUGACGUGGUAGCCAGAGGACAUGCUAACGUGUAUUAUUUAAUUAUAUGAAUUAUUUUUUAAAAUAAGCAGUGUUUCACGUGGCACAAUGCCUAUUAAUUAGUUUAUUUGAAUUAGGGAGUUUAUUCAUCUCUCUGAGAAUCGGGGAUUUUACACAUAUUAUCUCGUCUGCUCAAAAAAUAAAGUCACCGGAAACUUGCGUAACCACUGCAAUCAGUCUCACAGCCUUUUCUACAAAUGAACCAACUUGGUAACCUAUAGGUUCGUCACCACCCUUUAAGCUAUUUAUUCCACUGAUAGCAGAAGAUAACUGUUGCACAGUGAGAUCAGUUAGCGAUUGGGGUAAAAUGUGUGGAUUUUUAUAAAAAUUAUGACCCAAUUGAGACAAUUCAAAACUUGAGGACCGAACUGAGAUUUCACACAAAUACAAGGACCAAGAAGGGAUUAAGUCAACACGUCAGCAUACCAUGUCAGCUAAACUUAACGUCGUUUGAGAUCAGUUAGCGAUUGGGGUAAAAUGUGUGCAUUUUUACAAAAAUUAUGACCCAAUUGAGACAGUUCAAAACUUGAGGACUGAACUGAGAUUUUCACACAAAUACGAGGACCAAAAAGGGAUUAAGUCAACACGUCAGCAUACCACGUCAGCUACACUUAACGUCGUUUGAGAUCAAUUAACGGUUGAGGUAAAAUGUGUGCAUUUUUACAAAAAUUAUGACCCAAUUGAGACAAUUCAAAACUUGAGGACCGAACUGAGAUUUUCACACAAAUACGAGGACCAAGGGAAGUAUUAAGCCUUGUUUAAACUAAAAGGCGCGCGUGAAAUGAUCCGAAAGUGCAGACAGUGUCACUCAACUACUGCCAAUUAGCAUAUGUAAAUCUUAUUAUAUAUAUUUGGUUAAAUAUAUGUUUUAGUCCUCAUAUUUGUUUCCCAUUCUCAAUUAUGUCCUCGUGUUUUUUUUUGUCCCAAUUGCAUCAUAAUAUUUGUAAUUUGAGGCAAUUAAGCCCUCUCCGUUUUUUUUUUGUCCCAAUUGCAUCCUAAUAUUUGUAAAUUUGAGACAAUUAAACUCUCUCAAUUGGCCUACGACGUUAGUUCCAGUUAAUGGAAAGGGCUUAAUUGUCUCAAAUUUACAAAUAUUAGGAUGCAAUUGGGACAAAAAAAACAUGAGGACUUAAUUGAGAAUGAGAAACAAAUAUGAGGACUAAAACAUAUAUUUAAUCUAUAUAUUUUUACGUACUUUUAGCCAUGUAAUAUAAGUGAUAUAAGAAUAAUAAAUAAAUAAGGAUUAUUAUAUAUAGGAGAGAAUGGAUAAUAGAUAUAAUAAUAAUAACAUAUUAAAUAUAUUUAAUGUUGAAUAAAAAACAGUAAUAAUAUUAAUAUUUAUCUUAAAUAAUAAAUAAACAAAAUAUAGAAGAGAAUAGAUAAUUGAUUAUAACAAUAAUAAUUGAUUAAAUAUAUUUAAUGUUAAAAAUAAUUAUUAUACAGUGAUCCAUAACAAAAUCUAUAAUAUUAAUCUUAAUAAAAAUAUGGCUUAAUUCCACUUUUGGUCCCAUGUUUGGGGGGUUGUGUUCAAUGUGGUCCUAUCUUUUUUUUUGGUAGCAAUAGAUCCCACCUUUUGAAAAAAUCGUUCAAUUGAGUCAUUUUGCCUUACGGCGUCAAAUAUUUAACGGUAGAACCUACACCCUGGACAAAACANNNNNNNNNNNNNNNNNNNNNNNNNNNNNNNNNNNNNNNNNNNNNNNNNNNNNNNNNNNNNNNNNNNNNNNNNNNNNNNNNNNNNNNNNNNNNNNNNNNNNNNNNNNNNNNNNNNNNNNNNNNNNNNNNNNNNNNNNNNNNNNNNNNNNNNNNNNNNNNNNNNNNNNNNNNNNNNNNNNNNNNNNNNNNNNNNNNNNNNNNNNNNNNNNNNNNNNNNNNNNNNNNNNNNNNNNNNNNNNNNNNNNNNNNNNNNNNNNNNNNNNNNNNNNNNNNNNNNNNNNNNNNNNNNNNNNNNNNNNNNNNNNNNNNNNNNNNNNNNNNNNNNNNNNNNNNNNNNNNNNNNNNNNNNNNNNNNNNNNNNNNNNNNNNNNNNNNNNNNNNNNNNNNNNNNNNNNNNNNNNNNNNNNNNNNNNNNNNNNNNNNNNNNNNNNNNNNNNNNNNNNNNNNNNNNNNNNNNNNNNNNNNNNNNNNNNNNNNNNNNNNNNNNNNNNNNNNNNNNNNNNNNNNNNNNNNNNNNNNNNNNNNNNNNNNNNNNNNNNNNNNNNNNNNNNNNNNNNNNNNNNNNNNNNNNNNNNNNNNNNNNNNNNNNNNNNNNNNNNNNNNNNNNNNNNNNNNNNNNNNNNNNNNNNNNNNNNNNNNNNNNNNNNNNNNNNNNNNNNNNNNNNNNNNNNNNNNNNNNNNNNNNNNNNNNNNNNNNNNNNNNNNNNNNNNNNNNNNNNNNNNNNNNNNNNNNNNNNNNNNNNNNNNNNNNNNNNNNNNNNNNNNNNNNNNNNNNAGGUUGCGAAAAUGGAGGAAGAUUGAUGGAAGAAAACGGCCAUGGAUGUUGCAGCGUGGUUGCGAUUCGAAGGGGAUGACGCUCGAAGCUUAACGGCGACACGAUUCUGGAUUCUCCGCGACGGCGAAACUGUUGCUUGCUCACAGAAGGUUGGACGGUGGGGUGAAGGGUUUGUAAUGGUGGUGACGACGUCGCGGUGCUUGUGGAGAGGUGGCUGCUAGCGGCGCGAUUUCUCUGAUUCACGGUGCAGUGCGACGGCGGCACGGUAGUCACAGCAAAAGCGAUGGUGCGCGAUGAUGAAGGAUUUGUGGUGGCUAAUGGCGACGACGACCUUGCGGCAUUGUGGUGGUGACUGGUUGAGGCGUUGUGGUGGCCGGAUUUUGGGUUCUGGCGAGGAUGGUGGUGGCGGCCAUGGGUGGCUAGGGUUUGGAUUUGAAAAUUAGGGUUUCUUCAGUUUUUCUGUCCCUUCACAGUGCCACGCAAUCACAUUACCUUGCCAUGUUGUUAAUGUUUAUCCACGGGGCAUUAUCACCGUUAAAAAUUUGACGCCGUAAGGCAAAAGGACUCAAUUGAACGAUUUUUUCAAAAGGUGGGAUCUAUUGAUACCAAAAAAAAAAAUGUAGGACCACAUUGAACACAACCCUCCAAACAUGGGACCAAAAGUGGAAUUAAGCCUAAAAAUAUAAAGUAAUAAUAUUUAUCUUAAAAACAAACACAUCAUCCAAAGAUUUAUAGCACUCCCACACACAAAAAUCUAGCUAAUUCUCUUCAUUUCAACUCUCACCCAUCUUUGUUCCACGUUAACACCAAUUUCUUCUGUAUAGUACACACGUCACCACCUCUAGCCAUUGAAGCUCUGUGUCUAAUCACGCUCCAAAAAGCGCGUGAUUGUUCUCGCUCAACCACUAACAUAAACUAGCAUAUUUUCGGUAUAUCAUAUUAUAUCUCCAAUUAUUUAUAUAUUUAUUUAUUUAUUUCAGUAAAAGGAGGUUUUUCAUCACAUUGUUACGCUCACUCUCUCUUGUUCCUUUCUUCUCCAUAACGUUGUCAUUGGUGUCUUCGGAUCGGCGGAACUUUACCGUACCGGCUUGACUUGACGCUGUUCGUGGCACUUUAUUGCGAUAGCGGUGACGAAGAUGAAGGUUUUCGUGAAGACUCUCAAAGGCACUCACUUCGAAAUCGAAGUGCAGCCUCAGAACACGGUUUGUUACUCCAGACUUUGUCGAUUUGGUUUUCUUAUGAAUUUGGUUUUUCUAUUUCGGUCCUUAAUUGCGUUCCCUUCUUGAAUUGUCCCAAAAGUUUCCCCUCCUUUUAGAGCCCUGAAAUUGAGUGUUAAUUAGGGUUUCGUUUAUUUGAAUAUUAAUUUAAUUUUGAUGGCAAUUUGAAUUUAAUUUAUUUCUUGAAAGUUAAUUCCUGUUUUUUCGGAGUGACGAUUGAUUUGGUAUGUAGAAUAUGCUGGAAACGAAUGGAGUGUGUUAUUCUCAUCAUAACAUUCUCUAACUAGAUAACUUUAUUAUGCUCUUCUGGAUUCUAUUAUUAGUGGGAAACCUUUCUAAUAAGCUUGGGAUUCUUGGCAUGUGACAGUGAAUAAGUUCUGCAUUGACAAUAUCUGGAGUAUUACUUUUUAGGAAUAUCAAACCAGUUUGUACUAUAAGAAGAAAUCUUGAUAAGUACUAGUUCUAAUUUCUAAUUGCUACUCCUUAAUACCCGACUUAUCUUACUGCUACAGCUACCGCUAACUUGCUCCAAAAACUGACUUAUUACCUUUUUGUCAAAAUGGGUUUUGUAUUGGUAACUAGGACUGCAGUUGAUAUGUGAAUAUAUAUGUGAAUAAUGAGCGUUAUAGUUCUAUAUCAUCAAAGCUUCAUCUUUUAAUUUUAUGGGCUUUGUGAUUCAUUUCUACUUUCUUCUGGUUUUCUUAACAUCAAUAAUUGAUUUGUCACAUUAUUUUUAAUUGUGGAUAUUCUUUUCAGGUUUCUGAAGUGAAGAAAAGUAUUGAAACUGUUCAGGGUGCAGAUGUCUAUCCUGCUGCCCAGCAAAUGCUAAUUCACCAAGGGAAAGUUCUGAAGGAUGCUACUACCUUGGAGGAGAAUAACGUAGCAGAAAAUAGUUUCAUUGUAAUUAUGCUAUCGAAGGUAGUUUUCUUUGGUUCAUUUAUUUUAUUUUAUCUUUUUUAAAAUGAUAUUAUGUUGCAUAUUCUGUUUCACAAUUGUAUUAGUUUAUGUUGCGCUAAAUUAGAAUUGUGUUUAAAACAUGCUAGAGUAAGAGCACUUCUGGUGAAGGAUCUACUACUUCAACUGCACCAUCGACCAAGGUGAGAACAGUUUUUCAAUGUAAUAAAUUUUUGCAAUAUUUCUAUCAUUUAGGCUUUACCCUCUCGUGGGACAUGGUAAGACAAGCAUAAUGUCUCUUAUGCGUCAUCUAAACAUUCUCUAAAAGUUAUGUAUUCAUUGCAGACACCACAGACUAGUGCACCUCCUACUUCUACAGCGCCAGUGUUAACAGCUCCUCAAGCUCCAGCUGCAACUGAGGCACCGUGAGUGGCUAAUCUUUCUAGGAUAUUUUUUAUUUGUUUAGAUAAAUGUCAAUUUGAACUAUUUUAAUGUGUAUCAUGUGCAAUAUAAAGGCUUCGUUUCAAUUUGACAGGCCGGCAACUGUUUCUGCACCUGUAUCUACACCUUCAGUUCCAGCUCCUGCUACUAUUUCUUCAGGAACUCCUGUGUAUGUGUUUUGCUUCCUGCCAUGUGUGGAAUGUAGAGUUUAAAGUUGUUGUUAUUUUUGUAUCCUGAAAGACAGAACUCUUCAACUUGCUUGAUUCUUCUUUUCAAUUUUGUUGCUAAAAGAAUGUCUUUUUGAAGCAGGGAGGGGUCAGAUAUCUAUGGGCAGGCGGCUUCCAAUCUCGUUGCUGGAAGCAAUUUGGAGGGAACUAUUCAGCAAAUUAUUGACAUGGGUGGAGGGAGCUGGGACAGGGAUACUGUUGUCCGUGCUCUUCGAGCUGCCUAUAACAACCCUGAGAGAGCUGUUGAAUAUUUGUAUUCAGUAUGUGAAUUUUAGACUUUAAAUACUGUGCUUGAUGAUUUUGUCCUCCAAGUUUCUCAGUCGCAUUUAUUUAGCAAAGUUUAGUAUAGUAGUUAUUUGGGUGGAAGGUGGACUCUUCUUUGUGAUAUUUUCUUGCAAUUUUUCCUUUUUUAAUCCAAAUAUCAUUCAUCAACGUUAGGGUAUCCCUGAACAAGCUGAAGCUCCACUUGUAGCCAGAGCGCCUGCAGGUGCUCAACCCGCAAAUCCUCCUGCCGCUGCUGCCCCACAAACAGCACAACCUGCUCCGGUUACCUCAACUGGGCCUAAUGCUAAUCCUUUAGACCUUUUUCCGCAGGUAGCUAUUGCAUUUUUUAUUAUUGAAGAGAAUGAAAGCUUUGGGUUGUUGUAUACUGAACUUUGUGUAACAGGGCCUUCCCAAUGUGGGUUCUGGUGCUGCUGGUGCUGGCUCAUUGGAUUUCCUACGCAACAGUCAACAAGUAUCUAUCAUCUUUCUCUUCAUUUACCCCUGAAUUUCUUGCUUCAUAGAUAUGUUUUAAAUAGAUAUUUCAAUCAUGUUCAUUUGCAUUUCAGUUCCAAGCCUUGCGGGCUAUGGUGCAGGCUAAUCCACAAAUAUUGCAGGUUUUCUUCUUUGCUCAGUAGUGUAUCACUGUAUCAUANGNUGUCUUCUUCAUAGUUNCCUGAUUCUNGUUCUUGCUGCAGCCUAUGCUACAGGAACUCGGCAAACAAAAUCCUCAUCUUAUGAGGUUGAUUCGAGAUCAUCAAGCUGAUUUCCUUCGCCUGAUAAAUGAACCUGUGGAAGGUGGGGAAGGGUAAGGGAUCAUCAUCUGAUGUUCUUUUGUAAUUUUGUGUCUGUGUGUGGAUAGGAGGGGAGAAGGUGUUGUUAUCUUUUCUGACUAUCUUGUUGCAUGUUCACUGAAUUAUGUUUUGAAUUUAAUGUGCUUCAGGAAUAUAUUGGGGCAGCUGGCUGGUGGCAUGCCUCAAGCAGUGACUGUCACUCCCGAGGAGCGCCAAGCUAUUGAACGUGUAAGUUUGACUUUUUGUUAGGAUGUGAUGUAUAUGCUGAUAGUUAUAGUUUGUUUAAAUGACUAUAUCGGUGAGUACUUUUUAACAGACGCCAACUGUUUGUGGGGAGCACGAGCGGUUAACAUGUUGAUUAGCUCUUCCUGUGUUGUCUGAAAUUUAUAAUGAGUUGUGGUUUUUGUUUUCAGCUUGAAGCAAUGGGUUUUGAUCGUGCGAUCGUAUUGGAGGUGUACUUCGCGUGUAACAAAAAUGAGGAAUUGGCUGCCAACUACCUUUUAGAUCACAUGCACGAGUUCGAUGAACAAUAGAUCUCCUUUCCAAUUUGCCAAAUUAUUUCUUUUCAACUUUUUCUCUCGAUGGGUCUUUGUUACACUCCAUGUUUAAUGAGUUCAUGUU
rnacentral:lncRNA from 1 species